rnacentral:rRNA from 1 species
CUGAACCAGCCAAGUAGCGUGAAGGAUGACUGCCCUAUGGGUUGUAAACGUCUUUUAUAAAGGAAUAAAGUCGGGUAUGCAUACCCGUUUGCAUGUACUUUAUGAAUAAGGAUCGGCUAACUCCGUGCCAGCAGCCGCGGUAAUACGGAGGAUCCGAGCGUUAUCCGGAUUUAUUGGGUUUAAAGGGAGCGUAGGUGGACUGGUAAGUCAGUUGUGAAAGUUUGCGG